GUGUACCUGCUAUACUUGUGAAGGAUGAUAUCGCAUGCCACAGCUGCACAGUAGCAUUUAUAAGAUAAUAUAAAUAACUGCUACAGAGAUUUUUUUUUUUAUACAAGCGUAGUUAUCAUAAGUAUCACAUUGAACUUCCAGCAAAUCACAAAGCUUUAUAUUGAACAUUUCUCUUUGGAUAAUACCAACUGGAGCUCCCAUUUUAAGAGAGUGGCUCACUUCAGGAAACCCCCAGGCUCAGUUUAAAUCAAAACAAUGACAAAAAAUCUGGAGGAACAAGUGAGAAAAUUUCAUUAAACAUCCUAAUAUUAUUGUCUUUAAACAAUGAAAUGUAAAUGUUUAAAGAUUUAUAAAUUGCAGCUCUUUUGCUGACUUUUUUGGUUCUCCAUUGCAUUACACAAAGCGUAGACGCUAUAACCACACAGACUACAAGCAUUUUAUUAAAUUGAAUGAGGGCACGCUUCAGUAGAAAAGAUCAUUAGACUAGAAUUCAGGAUCACAGCGUUUUAACCGCAGAACCGUCUAUCUGGUUGCAUAAACUCCUGCAGGUCACUUCACUUUCUCUGGUCCUGAUUUUUCUCAUCUUUAAGAUGAAAGUGUCAGCGCCUUUCAAGCUUUCCCCGAAGGUUCUAGAAGCGUCUUUGUGGUAGGCUGAAUAUUGGUCUUCCAAACAUGCCCAUGUCCUACUUCCUGGAAACUAUGCGCAUGUCACGUGACAUAACAAAAGGACUUUACAUAUGUAGUUAAGGUUAGGAACCGGAAUGUAAAGGGAGGAGCCUGCAUUAUCCAGGUGGGCCAAAUCAGUCGCCUGAGCCCUCAAAAGCUCUUUUAGCUAGAGCCGCAGAGACAAGUGGGAUGUCACAGAAAAAGAAGCCAGCAAGAUUCCAACUCAGAGAAGAGCUUGGCCAGCCUUGACUGGAGUGAGGUCAGGGCUUCGUGGAAAACCAUGGCAAAGAAUGCAGAACGGCUUGUGGAAGUAAAACAAGCCCUUGCCUGACAUUUGACGAGGGAAGAAGGACCCCAGUUCCACACAUGAAGAGAGGGUUAUUCCAGCAAGGACUUGAAGGAGUCUGAAAGCAGAUUCUUCUCAGAACCUUCUGAUAAAAGCCCAGUUGCCCAACACCUUGGUUUCCGUCUUACGAAGCUCAGAGCUUCUGACCUACAGAAUGGUGCGAUAAUCUGUAAGGGUCGUUGUGGUUUCACCACAUUUGGCAUAUUUUCUUGUUCUAUUAAACUAGAUCUUCAACAUCA